rnacentral:rRNA from 1 species
CUACGGGAUGCUGCAGUGGGGAGUAUUGGACAAUGGGGGCAACCCUGAUCCAGCCAUGCCGCGUGAGUGAUGAAGGCCUUAGGGUUGUAAAGCUCUUUCGCCGGUGACGAUGAUGACGGUAACCGGAGAAGAAGCCCCGGCUAACUUCGUGCCAGCAGCCGCGGUAAUACGAAGGGGGCUAGCGUUGUUCGGAAUGACUGGGCGUAAAGCGUACGUAGGAGGCUUGUUUAGUCAGGGGUGAAAUCCCGGGGCUUAACCCCGGAACUGCCUUUGAUACUGGCAAGCUCGAGUCCGGAAGAGGGUGGCGGAAUACCCAGUGUAGAGGUGAAAUUCGUAGAUAUUGGGUAGAACACCGGUGGCGAAGGCGGCCACCUGGUCCGGUACUGACGCUGAGGUGCGAAAGCGUGGGGAGCAAACAGGAUUAGAUACCCGUGUAGUC